rnacentral:rRNA from 1 species
CCUACGGGGUGCAGCAGUGGGGAAUAUUGCACAAUGGGGGAAACCCUGAUGCAGCGACACCGCGUGAGCGAUGAAGUAUUUCGGUAUGUAAAGCUCUAUCAGCAGGGAAGAAAAUGACGGUACCUGACUAAGAAGCCCCGGCUAACUACGUGCCAGCAGCCGCGGUAAUACGUAGGGGGCAAGCGUUAUCCGGCUUUACUGGGUGGAAAGGGAGCGUAGACGGCUGUGCAAGCCAGAUGUGAAAGCCCAGGGCUCAACCCCGGGACUGCAUUUGGAACUGUGUGGCUGGAGUGUCGGAGAGGCAGGCGGAAUUCCUAGUGUAGCGGUGAAAUGCGUAGAUAUUAGGAGGAACACCAGUGGCGAAGGCGGCCUGCUGGACGAUGACUGACGUUGAGGCUCGAAAGCGUGGGGAGCAAACAGGAUUAGAUACCCCUGUAGUC